GAUGAAGAACGCAGCGAAAUGCGAUAAGUAAUGUGAAUUGCAGAAUUCAGUGAAUCAUCGAAUCUUUGAACGCAUCUUGCGCUCCUUGGUAUUCUGAGGAGCAUGCCUGUUUGAGUGUCAUUAAAUUCUCAACUACACUGACUUUGAAUUGGUGUGGCUUGGAUUUGGGGGGAAAAUUGUUGUGGGCUUUUUGUAUAGUCUGCUCCCCUGAAAUUGAUUAGCGGUACCUUUGUGGAACUGUCUACAGGUGUGACAAUUAUCUACAUCUUAGACAUCUGCUGGAAUGCUGCUUUCUAAACCUUACUUGUAUUGACAAUCUUGACCUCAAAUCAGGUAGGACUACCCGCUGAACUUAAGCAUAUCAAUAAGCGGAGGA
rnacentral:misc_RNA from 1 species